UACGGAGGGUGCAAGCGUUAAUCGGAAUCAUUGGGCGUAAAGCGUACGCAGGCUGUUCGUUAAGUCGGGUGUGAAAGCCCGGGGCUCAACCCCGGAAAUGCGCCCGAAACUGGCGAGCUUGAGUGCGGGAGAGGGAAGCGGAAUUCCUGGUGUAGAGGUGAAAUUCGUAGAUAUCAGGAGGAACACCGGUGGCGAAAGCGGCUUCCUGGCCCGACACUGACGCUCAUGUACGAAAGCGUGGGGAGCAAACAGG
rnacentral:rRNA from 1 species